AUAGAAGAUGAUGGCUGUAUGCAUGUUACAGCUCCCAAAGACCUUCCAGUGGCAUAAUUUUAUGGUUGUCAGUGAUAUUGAUCACUGUAUCAAUGAAGACAGUGUUAUUGAUAAUUCCAACCCUGCGUAGGCCUAGGCUAAUGUGUGUGUUUGUGUCUUAGUUUUCAACAGAAAGUUUGAAAAGUAAAAAGAAAAUUAAAAAUAAUAAAAUGCUUAAAGAAUAUGAAUAUAAAGAACAAAACAAACUAUAUUAUUUUAUUAUAUUAGCCAGAGAUGGAUCACUUGUCUAUGCCCUAAUUAUAAUGAUUAGAAAUGAGUUUCUGACAUCUUCAUUCUUUAUAGUGGAUGCUCAGGUCUAGCCUUAAGGAAAAAGAAGAUGCAACCAUGUUUGCCUCCGAACCCAUUUGUUUGCUGUAUAUAUGAAGUCAUUUUCCCAAAGUCAUGACAAAAUAGUAGAAUGAGGUAGUAAGUAGGAUUUUCUGUAUUAAACACAAAGUGCUCCCUAAAUCAUCUCCUUCCAUAGCCACUUCCUCUAGAUUUCUAAGAGAGUAACCAGAUGGUUCUAUUUCUUGCGCUUACUCCAUUUCCAUCCUUUGAAAGAGAGAUUUGUCUUUGACUAGAAAGUCCCACAUAAAUAUAAGUGAAAUAGAGAGGAGACUAAUAUUCAGGGCAAGUACCGAACACAUAUUACCUGCAAUCAACCUGGAAAGGUGGCGAUAUAGCUCACAAAUGCAGGGUAUGUAAAGGAAAAAUCAGAGUCGUUUAGGCAUUUUAGUCAGAAAAAAAUGAAUAUACAAGUUAUUUUCUCAUAAAAUAUGUGAGUACUAGAAUUGUGAGCUUGAUGUAAUCAUGGAUGUACAGUUAUUUAGUAUGUAAAGAGAAAGUGUUUUAACACUCUGAAAAAGAGUACCAGGAUAGGUACAAGGCAUACCAAGAUGUGCCUUGUUUGACAAUUAAAGGGAUUAGAACUGAACCUGCAGAAAAUGCAAAAAAAGGUGAGAAAAGUUUAAUAUAAAAGUGGUGUGAUUAUAUCCUUAUUAACUUAAUUCGUUAUUAACCUUUAUUAACUCUUACUUAGACUACUAAGGUUUCCUAUAAUUGGUCUCCCUUCUAAUAUUCCCUCAUAUUAAUCUUACUAAGUCAGAUUUCCCCAUGAAAUAACCCAGAAUCACUCGGCUUCCCCCUGACGGAGAACAUUCCUACACCCUGAAGAAGUCCUCUGGCUGCCCCAUUUCUCACUCUGCAAGAGCUAUGACUUCCUUUGAUGUAAAAAUCCAAAUAUAAAAAAAAGACAUGUCACUUUUUUGACAGGAUAAGAUAGAUGGAAAAUAUAUUUAAAAUAUAUAAAUAAGAAAUUUUAUGUUAUUUGAUACUAUGCAUAAUUUAUCUGGAGAAGUCGUGAUAUCAUUGGUGUUUCAAAUUUUUCAUAUUGGAAAAUGCUGGUGUCAUUAAAAAUUAUUGGGGAGCACAAAAAUAGUAGUUUCAGGAAACAGUUUCAGGAAAAAAUACAGAAAACAGGUGUAAAUUAUUGAGGAUUUGAUAAGAAAUUAAGAUAUUGAAUAGAAACUAUUCACCACAGGACCACUGAAUAAUGGAAAGAAGAGAAAUCAGAGGAUGGAUUUGAAGACUCAAAGAAGAUAAUUGAUCUUGGAAUAUAUGGGAAGUUGUGACAUUAGGAGAGUAAAAAUGAAAAGAUAAAUAUUUUGUGGAGUAAAUCUUUGGAAGAUGAAAAAAUACUUCUUUUGCUAGAAAAUGGCUUAAUAAGUCAGCAGAAGAUUGAGGGAGCUUGAAUUGAAAGGAUUGUAUGAAUAUAAUGUAAUUUAGUUUAAGAUGCAUGCUCAUGAGAGAGGGCUUGAAGAUAAAAACAUUGUUUAGAGUAGCAUCUAAACAAAAUCCUUCAAAAAGAACAGUUACAUUGAAAAGAGGGCUGGCGUUGACUGGCGUGCAUGUCUAGGAAAAUUAGUGCUGUUUUAAAACUUCUCCAACUGAGUAAUGAUUAGCAUCUAGGAAGAGAAACAGAAAAAGCUAGUGUUUUCAGAAUCCUGAUUUGAGAUUGGCAGGGAAGAAUUGUGUAAGAACAGAGGGCAACGGGACCAAAAAUGUCAGUAAGAUAAUAACCGAAAGAACAGAAAUUGAAGUCCAGGAAAGUGUACAUGCAGUCAGAGGGAGCUGGUGAAAAGGACAGUGGGGGGAUGGGGAAAUGGAAGUAGAUAUAUUAAGGAUGAGAAGUUUGGAAAUGUAGAAAGACAGUAGCUUGUGUUUAGAGAUUGAAUAUUUGAAGUCCAAAAUACAUAGAGGGUUCUUCUAAGGAAUAAACAGUUGCGGUCAUGUCAAAAAGUGGUCAUGACAUCAAGUGGAAAAGAAAGUUAUAUGAAUGGCAAUAUCAAGGAAUUGGGAGUUUGGCAUGUACUUCUGUAGUUUUUGGCGGCCUAUCACCCAUUCACUCUUCUUUUAGCAAGAAUAACCCAAUUUUUCUUAAGGAAAUAUUCCUCCAAUAUUCUAAGUCCAUGUGAUUCAGGUGUAAUCUCCCGUUGCAUACUCCAACCCCAUGAGUGGUUAUGAAACCCACGUUGGCAAUCAAAGCAACACGAACAUGGCCAUAAUAGUUAGUUCAGGACUGGCUAAACAUAUAAUACAAACCAGUACAGUUCUAGGACUUUAAAAAAUAUUUGUGGUCACUCAAAGUUUAAAAUGUAAGCCUGAAAGUGCUUUUAAGUAAAAUGAUAUCUCAAGGGGAUUAACUGCCUUAGAAUGGAGCCAGACUCAGGGGAAAGCAUAGAAUAAAUGGAAAAAGGAAACUUAAGACCUGUGAUAUAAGAGCCCCUUGAUGCUGCCAUGCCUGAAACUAGAGUCCAUAACUGGACUUUCCAGUUAAAUUCUACUUAAAUGCCUUUAUUCAGUUCAUACUAUUUAAAUUGGGCUUCUGUUGUUUGCAACCACAAAAGUUUCUAAUUUUAAAUAACAACCACCACAUUUUUCCUUUCUUGAGGAACAAGGAUAGGAAGAAAAUAUGAUAACAGAAGCUCAUCAGCAGACUAUUCAUGAAUACAAGCUCCAUGAAGCCCAGGACUUUCUGCAUUCCCUGCCACUGAAUCAUCACAGCUAAUACUCUGCUGAAUAAAUAUUUGUUAUUGGAUUAUAAUUUGACACAUCAAUAUUUUUAUGAUUUUUUAAAAUCGAUCUUACCUCGUUCCCUCAAGUUUUGCAUGAUUGGAAGUUUGUUGAGACGUUUCAAACCACAGCCUUCUUUCUAUUUUCCUCCAAAACAUUUAUCACAAUCUAGUGUAGAACACAGUUAAAUUAGUUAUUUGUUUAUUGUCUCUACACUCUGUAAACUUCAUGCAACAUUUUAAGACUUUUCAUUCGAUUGCCAUUGUUUAUUGUUUCUCCACUGAUCUAGCCUCAGUUCAUGAUAAAUUUUCACUGAAUAUUUGAUUGAUGUUUCAGGUUGAGCGUAGAGAAGGAUUUCCUGGUCAAACGAUUUUGUGAAACAAGACAUCCUAUACUAUUAUCUUAAACAUUUACACCAUUCAUACAAUAUAAAAAGUUCCUGAUAAAUGCUUCCAUUAUAAAAUAUGUUAACUUUGUUUAACUUAGUCUUUUAUCAGUGUAUUUACUCAUAGAGCUGCUAAUAACAUCUAGUAGAACUAAUGUCCUAGGUGUCACAUUUUUGGUAGAAAAAGUUUUUCCAUCACCUUGUAGCAAGCAGGGCAAGGCAUUUAUUCAUUUCACAACCCAGAGAAGGGUCCUAUUUAUUUAUGGUGUGGCUAAUGAGUUUCACUUCAUUAAGCGAAACUCAGCCAUAGUUACUGGAAUAGUGGAGAAAAAACUUCUGCUAGUUUCAAUCGCUCCAUUCUUCUUUGAAUGCAAAUCAUUGUUCAUAUAACAACAGUGACCUUCAUAUGGCAGCAGUGAUCUUCCUGGGAAACAAUUACAAUUAUGCCACUGCUUCACUUAACAUCUUUAAUGGCCGUCUCUUCACCAACGUUUCUCAUUUUUGCCUUUGGAGUGCAUUUUAAAAUGUUAUAACUAUACAAAGCCCACAGUUUCUUACAGGUCACAUCCUUAGCCCUACCCAAUUGUCAAAACAAAGGAUACAUUUUUAAGACCCUGAACUCUUUGUUGCUUUCAUCUGGAACACCUCUUUUGGCCAUCCCUUCCACCCUCCACCACACAAGUGCACUGGCUAACCCAGUCUUAUCUGACUGGUUAGCCCCUACUCAUAACUCAUGUUACAGCUUAGCCAGCCCUUCCAAGGUUCUGUUGAGUUUCCUUAUGUAUUCCAUACUCUUGACUUUAUCAUAAGUCUUCACCAGUCAUUAUAAUCUCUUGAAAGGUAACAAAAUAAUUCCUUUUUCUUUACCACAUUUCCAGUGUUUGUUUCAGUACAUGGCACAUAGUAAGCACUGGAGAGAUUAUGGAAGGAUAAUGAAAGAUAAGCCAUGUAUCUGUGACUGCCUCUUGGAGACAUAGACCUUAUGCAGCUGUGUAUUUGAUCUCGUCAGUGUUUUCUGUUUUUCUUUUGAGAGUUUUAAGUAUAUUCCUAGCUUUCAAAUUAGCUAAUGUAAAGGUUUUAUCCAUAUUAACUUUUAGCACUUCUUUUUUAUGUCUCUAUUUUCUCAGUGAUUUUUUGAGCAAUCUGUUGACAAGGCAUUUUAUUUGGAAUAGUAUGAACUUCUUAGAAAACACUAAUAUCUAUAGAGAUAAAAAUUUUUCUCCCUACAAUUAUACAUUGCUGCUCACUGGUGAAAACUGUUGCUUGAACAAGCCACAUGUUACAAGCUCCUAACACCAGCCACCCAACUGUACAACAGUGAGUUAUUCACAUCAACUACCUAACAGUAUUUACAACAAUGAUAUUUAUAUUAUGUAUAGUAUUUAUAUCAUAUUAAUUUUAAAAAUAAAACUUAUUUUGUAAAUUUUCUAUGUCAAAUAUUCUUUUACAUUAUAGCAUUUGAUUUUUUUUACAACUCUAUAAUGUAGGCAUUAAUAUUAUCACCCCUUCAUUCUUGGAACUAAUAAUCAUAGGUAUUGUUCUGAAUACGACUAUUGAGUAUCUUCUUCUUGAAAUUAUGGGUCUGUAUUUAUUUUUCUUUGUAUGGUCAUCACUUGAGUCAGUGCCAAGAAGCUCCCUAAAUGCAUCCAAGAUUAGAACUGGAGCUCAAAAUUUCCAUCUGAAAAGUUCUAUGUUUUGUUGUUUUACUUUAUCAGUCUAUAUCAAACUCAGCCAUCUUGAAGAAAAUAUGAGGCAAGAGUUCUCAUCAACAAAUAUUGUAAAAGGUACCUUUACAUAUUACUGAGGCAAAUCACUGUACUCAGCUUCAACUUCAUACUUACUUACACAAAAAUAUAUUCCACAAAUACUGGCACCUCCCAAAGUACCUCUCCCUACUCCUAUCACAUAAGGAUAAGAUCUCUGGGAAAUAGAUUGUGAGAUAGUGAGCUUUCUUCAAUUUUAAAAACUCACUAGAUGCUCUCUAUGAAUUGACAUGUGUAAGGGAAUGAAGGAAGCAGGACUGGGCAGAGGGAAAGGUGAGCUGCAUUGUAGUUGCAACAAACACCUUGUCGAUCAAAAAGCCAUCACACCUUCUAAAACUGAGAUGCAAUCUCAGAGCUGUCUCAGUUAAAGGAAGGGAGCUGAUAUGGUUUGGCUCUGUGUCCCCACACUAAUCUCAUGUUGAAUUGUAAUCUUCAGUGCUGUGGAGGGAUCUGGUAGGAGGUGACUAGAUCAUGGGGACAGAUUUCCCUCUUCCUGUUCUCACGAUAGUGAGUGAGUUCUCAUGAGAUCUGGUUGUUUAAAAGCACACAGCAUAUCCCCCUUUGUUCUCUCUCUCUCCUGCUCUGCUAUAUGAAGUUUGUGCCUGCUUCCACUUCACCUUCCUUCAUGAUUGUAACUUUUCUGAGGUCUCCCCAGCCAUGCCUCAUGUACAGCCUGUGGAACUGUGAGUCAUUAAACCUCUUUUCUCCAUAAAUAACCUAGUAUCAUGUAGGUCUUUACAGCAAUGAUAGAAUGGACUUAUACAGAAAAUUGGUACCAGAGAAGUGGGGCAUUGGUAUAAAGAUACCUGAAAAUGUGGACAUGACUUUGGAACUUUGGUAAUGGGCAGUGGUUGGAAUAGUUUGGAGUGCUCAAAAGAAGAUGGAAACAUGAGGGAAAGUUUGGAAUUUCCCAAAGACUUGUUGAAUGCUUGUGACUAAAAUGCUGAUAGUGACAUGGACAGUGAAGUUCAGGCUGAGGUGGUCUCUGAUGGAGAUGAGUAACUUUUUGAGAACUGGAGUAAGGGUCACUCUUGCUAUGGUUUAGCAAAGAUAUUGGUGGCAUUGUGCCCCUGCUCUAGAGAUCUGUGGAAUGGUGAACCUGAGAGAUAUAAUAUAGGGUAUCUGAUGGAAGAAAUUUCUAAGUAGCAAAGCAUAUGAGAUAUGACCUGGCUGCUUCUAAAAGCCUAUGCUCAUCUGCAUAAACAAAGAAAUGGCCUGAAACUAGAACUUAUGUUUAAAAGGGAAUCAUAACAUAAAAGUUUGGAAAAUUCACAGCCUAAUCAUGUGGUAGAAAAAAAAAAUCAUAUUCUAGGGAGAAAUUCAAGGCUGCAGAAAUUUGAAUAAAUAAAGAGCCAAAUGUUAAUAGCCAAGACAAUGGACAUUUAGUUAAUGCUGGAAUGAGUUAAGACUUUGGGGCACUGUUGGGAAGGCAUGAUUGGUUUUGAGAUAUGAGAAGGACAUGAGAUUUGGGAGAGGCCAGGGGCAGAAUGAUAUGGUUUGGCUGUGUGUCACCAACCAAAUCUCACGUUGAAUUGUAAUCCCCAGUGUUGGAAGAGGGACCUCCUAGGAGGUAACUGGAUUAUGGGGUGGAUUUCCCCCUUGCUGUUCUCCUGACUGUGAGUCAGUUCUCAUGAGAUCUGGUUGUUUUAAAUGUGUAGCAUUUCACCCUUUCUCUCUCUCUCUCUCUCUCACUCUCUCUCUCUCACACACACACUCUCUCUCACUCUCACUCUCUCUCUCUCUCUAUCACACACACACACACACACACACACACACACACACACACACUCUCUCUCUCUCUCUCUCUCCUGUUCUGCUAUGUGAAGAGUAUGCCUGCUUCACCUUCAACUUCUGCCAUGAUUGAAGUUUUCCUGAGGCUUCCCUAGCCAUGCCUUUUGUACAGCCUGUGAAACUGGGAGUCAAUUAAACCUCUUUUCUCCAUAAAUUACCCAGUCUCAGGUAUGUUUUUAUAGCAGUGUGAGAACAGACUAGUGCAGGAGCCAAGCCGUUGUACACACAUUUCUACCAGUCACUGUUUACAAGCUGCCUCUGAAGAAGGACCAUAACCUUGGGCUUGGAAGUUCUGUUUUUUGAAAGCAAUUCCUUGAGAAAGGAGUUAGCUAUGAGCCAUCAGCAGCCAGGCAGCUGAGGGAAUGAGCUCCUCAAUCCCAAAGAGGAGUUCUGAGUAGCCAACUAUAGUUUCCGAUUAAUCUACAUAUUUAAUGGACACUAAAUGUGAUAUAAUGUCAAGUAGCACUUUUUUAAAAAUAUUUUUUAAAAUAGCGAAGUUAACUUUAUUUCAG
rnacentral:lncRNA from 1 species